rnacentral:rRNA from 1 species
UACGUAGGGUGCGAGCGUUACUCGGAAUUACUGGGCGUAAAGCGUGCGCAGGCGGUUCGUUAAGUCAGAUGUGAAAGCCCCGGGCUCAACCUGGGAACUGCAUUUGAAACUGGCGGGCUUGAGUGUGGCAGAGGGGGGUGGAAUUCCGCGUGUAGCAGUGAAAUGCGUAGAGAUGCGGAGGAACACCGAUGGCGAAGGCGACCAUCUGGACCGGAACUGACGCUGAGGCGCGAAAGCCAGGGGAGCGAAUGGG